GACAGAGGGUGCAAACGUUGUUCGGAAUUACUGGGCGUAAAGCGCGCGUAGGCAGCAGCGUGUGUCGGGCGUGAAAUCCCAUGGCUCAACCAUGGAAGUGCACUCGAAACUGCGCAGCUAGAGUCUCGGAGAGGAAGGUGGAAUGCUUGGUGUAGAGGUGAAAUUCGUAGAUAUCAAGCGGAACACCGGUGGCGAAGGCGGCCUUCUGGACAGUGACUGACGCUGAGACGCGAAAGCGUGGGGAGCAAACAGG
rnacentral:rRNA from 1 species